AUUGAACGCUGGCGGCAUGCCUAACACAUGCAAGUCGAACGAAGGCUUCGGCCUUAGUGGCGCACGGGUGAGUAACGCGUGGGAAACUGCCUAUUGGUGGGGAAUAACGACGGGAAACUGUCGCUAAUACCGCAUAAGCCCUUCGGGGGAAAGAUUUAUCGCCGAUAGAUGUGCCCGCGUCCGAUUAGCUAGUUGGUGAGGUAAUGGCUCACCAAGGCGACGAUCGGUAGCUGGUCUGAGGGGAUGAUCAGCCACACUGGGACUGAGACACGGCCCAGACUCCUACGGGAGGCAGCAGUGGGGAAUAUUGGACAAUGGGCGAAAGCCUGAUCCAGCAAUGCCGCGUGAGUGAUGAAGGCCUUAGGGUUGUAAAGCUCUUUCGGGUGGGACGAUGAUGACGGUACCACCAGAAGAAGCCCCGGCUAACUCCGUGCCAGCCGCCGCAGUAA
rnacentral:rRNA from 1 species